ACGCUGGCGGCGUGCUUAACACAUGCAAGUCGAACGGAAAGGCCCUGCUUUUGUGGGGUGCUCGAGUGGCGAACGGGUGAGUAACACGUGAGUAACCUGCCCUUGACUUUGGGAUAACUUCAGGAAACUGGGGCUAAUACCGGAUAGGAGCUCCUGCUGCAUGGUGGGGGUUGGAAAGUUUCGGCGGUUGGGGAUGGACUCGCGGCUUAUCAGCUUGUUGGUGGGGUAGUGGCUUACCAAGGCUUUGACGGGUAGCCGGCCUGAGAGGGUGACCGGCCACAUUGGGACUGAGAUACGGCCCAGACUCCUACGGGAGGCAGCAGUGGGGAAUAUUGCACAAUGGGCGGAAGCCUGAUGCAGCAACGCCGCGUGCGGGAUGACGGCCUUCGGGUUGUAAACCGCUUUCGCCUGUGACGAAGCGUGAGUGACGGUAAUGGGUAAAGAAGCACCGGCUAACUACGUGCCAGCAGCCGCGGUGAUACGUAGGGUGCGAGCGUUGUCCGGAUUUAUUGGGCGUAAAGGGCUCGUAGGUGGUUGAUCGCGUCGGAAAGUGUAAUCUUGGGGGCUUAACCCCUGAGCGUGCUUUCGAUACGGGUUGACUUGAGGAAGGUAGGGGAGAAUGAAUUCCUGGUGGAGCGGUGGAAUGCCGCAGAUAUCAGGAGGAACACCAGUGGCGAAGGCGGG
rnacentral:rRNA from 1 species